CGAGCAAGCUGGACGAUCGCUGCUCUGCUCAGGCGCCCAUCCUGGACCCGCCAGGGCCCGCGAUGGGCAGGCAGGAGCGGAGGAGAGGAAAGUCCGAACUCCAGAGGGCAGUGCGCUCGUUAACAGCGAGGGUCGGAAGGGGAUCUCUGAGCAAUCGGAGCGUACGCUUCCGGCAUGGAAAGUGCCACAGAAAACAUACCGCCCCGACAUUUCGGGGUAAGGGUGAAAAGGUGCGGCCCGCUUCGGCGGGAUUAAAGUAAGAGCGCACCGCCUCGACAGCGAUGGCGAGGGCAGGGUAAACCCCGCACGGAGCAAGACCAAAUAGGAGAGGAGGAGCGGCCCGCUCCGCAAGGUUCUGUAGCGGCGAUUAAUGAUCAUUGGCAUGGGCUGUUGCAGCCUGGUGAUUAUCGGUCGCCGCUACGGGCUGGUGACUCUCGGGUAGGUCGCUUGACCUCAUCAGCAAUGGUGGGGCUAGAGGAAUGAUCGUCACCCCGGGCGACCGGGGAACAAAAUUCGGCUUACAGGCUUGCUCGCGCU
rnacentral:RNase_P_RNA from 1 species